rnacentral:rRNA from 1 species
AUGGCGUCCGGCAAAGCUCCAUUGCAGCCCCGGUGGAGCUUCAACGCAGCAUCGACACAUCCGACGAAGCUCCAUUGCAGCGCCGGCGGGGCUCCAACGCAGCAUCGACGCGUCCGACGAAGCUUCAUUGCAACUCCGGUGAGGCUCCAUUGCAGCCCCAGCCAUGCUUCCGGCGGCCCUGGCGUUGCUGCAAUCUACCACCGACGAUGCUCCCAAGAGUCUCAAGCAACAUCGUCGGAAUUGCAGCGCCGCCCCUCGUCGCUCACUCCGCCGCGGCUAUCGUCGCAGCACCGGCCACGCUCCAUUGUAGCUCAGGGAGGCCAUGCGCGAUGCUCAAAAUCGCAGCUCCGACGCCAUGGCAGAUGCUCCCCGACGCAGCAGCAACUCCGACGACCAUGGCAGCCGGUGGUCGGCAUCGAAGCUUCUGUCGAUUCGUCGCAGCGCAGCAGUGCCCCUUGCAGAAGCAACAACUCUGCCAUGGAAGAGAAGGAUGAGCGCGAGACAGGAGAUCGAGAGCAUGGGCAUGGCAGUGGGCAGCAGAAGGGAAAGGGAAAGGGGGAUCUGCAGGAGGGGAGGGGAUUUGAGUCGGGACGAAGACGGCGAUGCGGUAGAAAAGUGGAUGGCUGUGGACUUUUGCGUGCGAUAAGGCAGACGGUAAAGCGGCGGCUGGGCCCAGCCAGGGGACGCGUGUCGAUUCUUCGACCCCCUUCUCUCUCCCCCCUCGCCGCCGCCAAGCAACGCCGUCGGGUAAAGCCAGGUCGGCGGUGGCGGGGCCUCUUCUUCCCCUCCCCUCGUGUACCAGAGCUGGCGCGAGACGGCCGGUCGAGCGGGGACACUGGGCUAUUGCCGGGCCAAUGGUGUGGCUGCGUGCUUUUUGUUCAGCGACGGGGUGCGCCUGGUGGGGACGCGCCGGCGAGCAGGAGGAACGCCUGCGGUGUGGCGGCCGUGGGGUGUCCCUAUUUGGGCGGUGACGUGCUGGCGCGGAUCCGGCCAGAUCCACUCAUAUCCGGCUCCAGGUUGGCGGCGGGCGCGGCGCUGCUGCGGCCACGAUGGUCGUCCGGUCCGCACGUGGCGACGACGGGUCUCUCCGGCGGCGAUUCGUCUACGUCAGGCUCAGAUGAGCUCCCUCCCUCUUCUAAGGAUUCAGUGACGGGCUCGUCAAGCCGGGGUGGCUCCCUGGUGCGGUGUGGGUGUGCGCGAGGCCUGCCAGAGGUGGCAGGGGACUUCGGGAUGGGGGCAAGGUGCCCCCUCCGUUGCAUAUGGCGGCUGCUUCGGGUGGCUGCCGGAGUUCCCCUAGUCCAGAUCUGGCCACCGAGGACACCAACCCUUCCUAGGUGUCAGCUUUGGAGUGGAAGGGAGGUUUUCUACUCUGUCCCGGUCGGCCGUGUCGGUUUUGGUCUGUCCUUGGAUGAUGGUGUGGCUCGGAUGUCGUGGCGGCGGCCCGGUUGGUGGAAGCCGGGGUGCUCAUGGGCGGAGCACGCGACUCAGGCGCUGUCCGGUCACCAUGGCCAUGUGGGCGGCAUGUUGACGGAGCCUCCUGUUAGCCAAAGAGUGGCCAGCUGGGCUGAAGAUAGCAUCUUCGGCUUACUGCUGGCCGAAGAGUGGUCUUCGGCCCUGUGUAGACCGAAGAGUGUGGUCUUCGGCUUCGUGAAGGCCGAAGAGUGCCGGAGCCGUACGCCUCGCUGCAGCUGCAUGUACGCUGGUUGGCAGGCUUGCUGCCAUAUGCAUGCAGCAGCCUCUAAUCGUGGAUAUGGACUCAUCUCAUAUGCAUGCUGCUGCACCGCCGUCUGGUCGAGACGACUUGGUCGACUCGCGUCGGACCGGCCGACCGCGCCGCCCUCACUCCACUUCUCACUCACUCGCUCCUCUGCUCUCCCUGGGGCUUCAAUGGGGAAGGCGAAACCUGGCGGCGGCGACGGCCGCGGCAGCGGCGGCGCUUCUGCUGGCGAUGCUGGUGGUGCUGGAGAUCCACUGGAGCUCUGCGGGAGCUCGAAUCCUUCUCAGGCGGUGCCUCCUCCCCAAUCCCCGGACCCGCAGUACACGGUGGCUAGGGAAUUUGCCAAGGCGGUGAAGGCAAAUCCGAUGGGCAGCCAACACUUUGCAUCGUCCUUCGGCGGUGUGGUGUUGGAUGAUGAAGAAUGGGAAGUGAGAGAUACAGGAGUUGGGGUGUCAGGAAUGGAAGAAUUAACUGAUGAUGACAAGGUUGAAGAAAUGUUGGAUGACAUAUGCAGUAAAGGAAAUAAUGUGGUUAACAUUACAAUCAUGAGAAGUGAUGCACCCACACCAGCUGACCUGAACAUUGAUACUUCAGGAGUUCUUUUCCCCAGUCUAGUUAAGCCCCAACCACAGCCUGUCCAGGUCAUGAACACCCAGGAGAGUUCAUGUUUGAAGCUUAAGGGUCCAAGUGAACCAGAGUUUGCAUUGGACUAUGGUAGUGAGAGGCAUGAGUACUUCAUGGAGACAGACCAAGAUCAAGAGAAGAUUGAGAAGAUGAUGGAGCAGAGGAGGAAUGAAGAGAUUGAAAAGUUUAAGACCAAUAAGAAACAAAAAGAGAAGUACAAGGAAGCAAAGAGAAAACUUCCAGAGCUGCUUGCUGAAGAGUUCACUGACAGUGAUAGUGACAAUGAGAUUUUAGAAGAUGAAGACAUAAUAGCUAGGCUGGAGGCAAUGAAGAGGCAUAGAGCUGAUCCUCUCAAUCACUUUGAAGGAGACACUGAUGUAGAAGAGCUUUAUGAACUAGAUGAGGAGGAGUUGGAGGAUGAAGCAGGAGAGGAGGAGGUAGGACAGGAUGAGCAAGCCGAGGAGGGUAGGAGAGGAGGAAGCACUAUAGGAGGAAGCAGCACAGGAGGAAGCGAGAGGAAGGGGCCAACAACCAGAUCACAUGGAAGUCUUGACCAAAUCAUAGAGCAAGAUUGGAUACCUUCAUCUGAUGAAGAGAGCAACCCAGGUGACUUAAGUCAGGAUGAUAAUGAUGGUGCUCAGCUUCCAACAUUUAGGCAACCAAAUGGUAGGAAGAGCAGGGCCAGAAAGCAGAAGCCUAGGCUUUGGUAUGAUGAGAAGAGGGAGAACCCACAAGAACAAUUUGUGAAGAAACUUUGUUUUCUAGAUGUCCAACAAUACAGGAGAGCACUUCUUACAUUUCACAUCUCACAAAACAGGAACUACUCUUUUCAUAGAAACUGCUCAGAUAGAGUUAUUGCAGUUUGCAGAGAGAGCACCAAAGUGACUGCAAGAUGGUUGGCACAUGAGUGUGAGGAACAAUUGAGGGCAGACAUAAACACACCAGUCCAGACCAUAAUAGCCAAUUUGAAGAAUAAACAUGGAAUAGAAGUGUCCAUUCACAUGGCCUACAGAGCAAGGAAAGCAGCUAAGAGUGUUGUCCAAGGAGAUCAAAGGGCACAAUACACAAGGAUAAGGGAUUACCUCCAAGCUGUGUUGGAUACCAAUCCAGGAAGUGUUGAUGGCUGCUUCAUUAAGUUGACCACAGGGCAGCAAAUAUUGGCUGCAACUGGUAGAGAUGGUAAUAACAACAUAUUUCCCAUUGCAUUUGCAAUUGUUGACAAGGAAGACACUGCCAGCUGGUCAUGGUUUCUAACACAACUGAAGUAUGCUCUUGGUGGUGAGUCACGGAAGCAUGGCUACUACACUAUCAUAUCUAAUAGACAAAAGAACUUCCAAACAGCUGGCUUUAGAGGUGAAGAGUUAAAGAAAUACAUGGAUCAGGCUAGUUAUUCAUAUACUGAGCAUGGAUAUAAUCAAGCAAUGGAUGGAAAACCAAUUAAAACCAUGGUUGAUGGGAUCAGAACAAAAUUGUUAGUUAAGUUCAAUGCCAAUAGGACCAAGCCAGAGACAGCUAAGUGGGAGAUAUGCCCAACAUAUGCUGAAAAGCUGGAAGAAGCUAAACAUCAUUCCAGAUUCUGUCAGUCAAUCAAGGCUGGACCUGAUCUAUACCAGGUUGCAAGUGGAGAAAGCACAUAUGCAGUAAAUCUGAAAGAUUACACAUGUGGGUGUAGAAAAUGGGACAUGACUGGGGUUCCUUGCAAUCUUGGUGUUUCAACAAUUAACAAGGCUAAACUACAUACAGAAGAUUUUGUUAAUGCUUUCUUCAAGAAACCAAUGUAUCAACAAGCCUACAGUCCAAUUGUCUACCCUGUUCCUGGGCCUGAUCUAUGGCCAAAGACUGGGACCCCUGACAUAGAGCCACCUGUUUUCAGAGACAAGCCACGGAAGAAGCAGACAAAGAGGAGAAAAAAUCAGUUUGAGAAGCCAGCUCCCAAGGAUACUUCUAGGAUGGCAUCAAUCACUUGUAGUAAUUGCAAUUUGAGUGGGCAUAGGUACACUAGCGGCCACAAAAAUCUUAAGCCAGCCCUUGCAAUGAGAAGGAACCAACAUCAGGAAAACAGAAGAGUUGAUGCAGCUUCAUCAGCCCCAAGGGCAGCUCCAUCAGUACCCAGGGCGAGAACUACAGCUCCACCAGCACCUAGGCCAGCUCCAGCAGUUCCCAAGGCAAGAACUACAGCUCCACCAGCACCUAGGCCAGCUCCAUUAGCUCCUCCUGCAACUAGGAGAGCAACUGCAUCUACUGUUGCUGCUUCUAGGCCAAGUUCAUCUACUGCUGCAGCUAGAAGGCCAAGUUCAUCUACUGUUGGUGCUUCUAGGCCAAGUUCUUCUACUGCUGCAAAGAAAACAUUCAUACCACCUAGAGCUUCAGUGUGUGAUGUUGAAAACAAUUUCAAGUUUGUGAUGUUCAAAACAGCUGUGAGUUUGUCAUGUUCAAACCAGUUUAAUUCAGCCUAUUUUGGCUACUUUGUGAUGGCACUAUACUUUGUUGCAUCAAGCUAUUUAGGAUUUUAUCACUUAGGGUGGCUCGGUGUCGACCAAUCUUAA